rnacentral:rRNA from 1 species
CCUACGGGUGGCUGCAGUGAGGAAUAUUGGUCAAUGGGCGAGAGUCUGAACCAGCCAAGUAGCGUGAAGGAUGACUGCCCUACGGGUUGUAAACUUCUUUUAUAAAGGAAUAAAGUGAUGCACGUGUGGCUUUUUGUAUGUACCUUAUGAAUAAGGAUCGGCUAACUCCGUGCCAGCAGCCGCGGUAAUACGGAGGAUCCGAGCGUUAUCCGGAUUUAUUGGGUUUAAAGGGAGCGUAGGUGGGUUGUUAAGUCAGUUGUGAAAGUUUGCGGCUCAACCGUAAAAUUGCAGUUGAUACUGGCAGCCUUGAGUACAGUAGAGGUGGGCGGAAUUCGUGGUGUAGAGGUGAAAUGCUGAGAUAUCACGAAGAACCCCGAUUGCGAAGGCAGCUUGCUAAAGUGCCACUGACGUUGAUGCUCGAAAGUGUGGGUAUCGAACAGGAUUAGAUACCCUUGUAGUC